UUCUGACAUUGGUAUUGGGGUGCUCUGACGUCAUAAGGUGGCGUUUGAACAGGACUUUUAUUUUGGUGGGGCGCUGUGACGUCACGAGGCUGCGUCGCGCUCCUGCGUCUGUGAUUCGGCUGAAGAAAGUAUCGAACCACACAAGAAAAAAACUCAUGCUGAAGCAACUGAGAUCCAUGUGAUACACGCUUAUAGAGAUGGCGUUUUAUUAAAGAGGAAAGUGAAGACUUCAGGAUUGAAGAAGUAUUCAGUCUGAAACAAGAAGAGACUGAGGAACAAACAGUAAUUGGCGUGGAGAGACUAUAUAACGCCAGGAGAAACAGGAGUGUGGAAGAGAGAGAAGGACUGCUGACUGGUGGAACCUGACUGAGCUGGAAUCCUUGCUUUAGUGAAAGUUAUUAUAC